CGGGACGGGUGAGUAAUGUCUGGGGAACUGCCUGAUGGAGGGGGAUAACUACUGGAAACGGUAGCUAAUACCGCAUAACGUCGCAAGACCAAGAGGGGGACCUUCGGGCCUCUUGCCAUCGGAUGUGCCCAGAUGGGAUUAGCUAGUAGGUGGGGUAACGGCUCACCUAGGCGACGAUCCCUAGCUGGUCUGAGAGGAUGACCAGCCACACUGGAACUGAGACACGGUCCAG
rnacentral:rRNA from 1 species